UCAGCUUCACACACACUGCUGUUUCUGCACUUGUCUGGUCUCUCCCAUUUUCAACUCCCUUUUACAUGGGCUUUGCCCUCAACCCUAUCACAGUUGCUAAAACGACCAGCCAUUAAAUAAUUAUAGGUGACGUGAAAUAUCAUCAAAAUGCUUUGAAGUUAAUAUUUCAUCAAGUUGAAUGAGAGACACAGUCCAGUUAUCUACGUGCUAGACUGGAACCCAAAUUACCACAGGAAGUAUGCAGAGAUUUGAGUUCUACUUACAGCUCAGACACCAGCUUCUUCUAGAGCCAUGGACUCUACAAUGGAUAACAAAUAGUUAGUGAAGAACAAACUUAUUAUUCCUCCA